rnacentral:lncRNA from 1 species
GAUGAUUGCUCUGUUCAGGAUAAUUUGUUUGUACGCCUAAUUUUUGUGAUGGGAAGUGUACCUGAUACUUGUUAUUGGAAUAUGGAGGCAAGCGGAGUGCUCAGAAUUCUGCGGUUUUUGCAUUUGGCAUGUUCCUCUCAUGGUAGUCAGUCUCAUCAGAAGGUUUAGUUAUGAUAAGAUAUGGUUACUUUGGUGUGUUUGGAAUUUACAAGUAUAUGGUGUCAAUUUCCUGUUUAUUUCGGCAAGCAGUAUUGGUCGGAUUAUUUGGUGCUGGUUGUGAGGUGUAUAUAGAUCCAUGCACUGUAUGAAUCAUGGAUUCAUGGUUGACAUAGCGAUGCUUUAUUUGGCUGUUAGAACAGGAUUUUGAUUCAGUACUAUUGACAUACUCAUGAAGGUGGCUUCUUGUUCUAUCAUUAUCAAAUAGUCAGCUCAAUUGAAAGGUUCAUUUCAAGGAAAUUCAGAAUGUGGGUUUUAUAAUUGCUACAUCUGUGCAGUGUAGUUUAGUGCUAGCUACAUGUGAAGCCAUCUGCUUGAAGAUUCUUCUAAGUACUAUUCUUGCUUUGAGGGCCAUGGAUGUAUGCUCUAAGUUGUGGUUUUCUUACUAAUGUGCUACUGAUGCAUGUUUAUCAAGUGGUACCUUAAGGUCUUCUGUCAGAUUAUGGUGUAGUGCUUUGGUCUGAAUCUCCUAGUCCUCUGGUGAUACUUCAGUCACAUGGUUUUGAAUGAAUCUUGGAUUU